rnacentral:rRNA from 1 species
UACGUGGGGGGUAAGCGUUGUUCGGAAUUACUGGGCGUAAAGGGCUCGUAGGCGGCCAACUAAGUCAGACGUGAAAUCCCUCAGCUUAACUGGGGAACUGCGUGUGAUACUGGAUGGCUUGGAUUUGGGAGAGGGAUGCGGAAUUCCAGGUGUAGCGGUGAAAUGCGUAGAUAUCUGGAGGAACACCGGUGGCGAAGGCGGCAUCCUGGACCAAUAUUGACGCUGAGGAGCGAAAGCCAGGGGAGCAAACGGG